rnacentral:rRNA from 1 species
CGGGACGACGUUCGAGCGGGCGCGGUAAGACGUGUGGUGCGGGAGGUAAUCGGAAUUACUGGGCGUAAGGCGUGCGCGUGCGGUUUGGUAAGGCAGGCGUGAAAGCCACGGGCUUAACCUGGGAACUGCGCUUGUGACUGCCAGGGUAGAGGACGGCAGAGGGGGGUGUAAUUCCACGUGUAGCAGUGAAAUGCGUAGAGAUGUGGAGGAACACCAAUGGCGAAGGCAGCCCCCUGGGUCGAUACUGUCGCUCAUGCACGAAAGCGUGGGUAGCAAACAGGAUUAGAUACCCCAGUAGUC